GACGAACGCUGGCGGCGUGCUUAACACAUGCAAGUCGAACGGAAAGGCCCUGCUUUUGUGGGGUGCUCGAGUGGCGAACGGGUGAGUAACACGUGAGUAACCUGCCCUUGACUUUGGGAUAACUUCAGGAAACUGGGGCUAAUACCGGAUAGGAGCUCCUGCUGCAUGGUGGGGGUUGGAAAGUUUCGGCGGUUGGGGAUGGACUCGCGGCUUAUCAGCUUGUUGGUGGGGUAGUGGCUUACCAAGGCUUUGACGGGUAGCCGGCCUGAGAGGGUGACCGGCCACAUUGGGACUGAGAUAAGGCACAGACUCCUACGGGAGGCAGAAGUGGGGAAUAUUGCACAAUGGGCGGAAGCCUGAUGCAGCAAAGCCGCGUGCGGGAUGACGGCCUUCGGGUUGUAAACCGCUUUCGCCUGUGACGAAGCGUGAGUGACGGUAAUGGGUAAAGAAGCACCGGCUAACUACGUG
rnacentral:rRNA from 1 species